rnacentral:rRNA from 1 species
UUUGCCUACGGGACGCAGCAGUGAGGAAUAUUGGUCAAUGGCCGGAAGGCUGAACCAGCCAAGUCGCGUGAGGGAAUAAGGCCCUAUGGGUCGUAAACCUCUUUUGUCAGGGAGCAAAGGCGUCCACGAGUGGACGAAAGGAGAGUACCUGAAGAAAAAGCAUCGGCUAACUCCGUGCCAGCAGCCGCGGUAAUACGGAGGAUGCGAGCGUUAUCCGGAUUUAUUGGGUUUAAAGGGAGCGUAGAUGGGUUGUUAAGUCAGUUGUGAAAGUUUGCGGCUCAACCGUAAAAUUGCAAUUGAUACUG